AAAACUCUAUAUAACAUUCCUAA
rnacentral:snRNA from 1 species